CAAACACAAAGUGUUAUUCUUUUCAUCUCUCUGUUGUGUUGUGUUCCCCACCCCGCAUUAAUUCCUCACCGUCUUCUUUCUUUCUUCUCAUCACAAAGACACAAACUUUCUUCCUCAACCACCCAACCCAACUUUUUAUUCCACUCAUCACUUCCUUGGAAAUUGCAACCAUAAAAAAAAUUGUUUGUUUUUAUUCCUUCAUUCAUAAUAAUACUUUGAAAAGUGUUGCUUUUUGGGUUGAGAAUUGAGAGUUGUGGCAGGGUCUAAUGGGUAACUGCCUAGAUUCUUCUGCCAAAGUUGAUGCAGCUCAGAGCUCCAGAUCCACUUCUGCAUCAGGAAUCUCAAAAACUACUCCUUCCAGUUUAUCUAUUCCAUCAUACAGUGAAAAAAGCAAUGCCUCAAGUCUUCCCACACCAAGGUCCGAGGGUGAAAUCUUGUCUUCUCCCAAUCUUAAGCCCUUCACAUUCAAUGAGCUGAAGAAUGCCACCAGAAAUUUUCGCCCCGAUAGUCUUCUCGGUGAAGGGGGAUUUGGAUAUGUCUACAAGGGAUGGAUUGAUGAACACACAUUUACAGCUUCAAAACCUGGAUCAGGAAUGGUUGUUGCUGUAAAAAGGCUUAAACCUGAAGGUUUUCAAGGUCAUAAGGAGUGGUUGACUGAGGUUAAUUACCUCGGACAACUGUACCACCCUAAUCUGGUUAAAUUAAUCGGGUACUGCUUGGAGGGAGAGAACCGGCUAUUGGUGUAUGAGUUUAUGCCUAAAGGGAGCUUAGAGAACCAUCUAUUUAGAAGAGGACCGCAACCACUCUCUUGGUCGGUGAGGAUGAAAGUGGCUAUUGGUGCUGCCAGAGGACUCUCCUUUCUUCAUAAUGCCAAAUCACAAGUCAUAUACCGUGAUUUUAAAGCUUCUAACAUCCUGCUGGAUGCUGAGUUUAAUUCGAAACUCUCUGACUUUGGUUUAGCUAAGGCGGGUCCUACUGGUGAUAGAACUCAUGUGUCUACUCAAGUCAUGGGUACUCAAGGAUAUGCAGCACCUGAAUAUGUUGCAACUGGUCGGUUGACGGCCAAAAGUGAUGUCUACAGCUUCGGAGUUGUGUUGCUUGAACUUCUAUCAGGAAGACGCGCAGUUGAUAAAACCAUAACCGGAAUGGAGCAGAAUCUGGUGGACUGGGCAAAACCAUAUUUGAGCGAUAAACGAAGACUGUUCAGGAUUAUGGAUACCAAGUUGGAGGGCCAGUACCCACAAAAGGGGGCCUUCACGGCUGCCACACUUGCUCUACAAUGCCUAAACAGUGAGGCCAAGGCAAGGCCUCCAAUGACAGAGGUUUUAGCAACUCUGGAACAGAUAGAGGCCCCCAAGACAGCAGGCAGAAACUCCCAUUCAGAACACCAUAGACUUCAGACUCCUGUGAGAAAGUCUCCUGCGCGAAACCGGUCACCGUUAAAUCUAACUCCUACUGCGUCUCCUCUCCCAGCUCACCGGCAAUCGCCUCGUGUGCACUAAAGCUGUGAACAUAGAACAUCUGUAUAUGUAAAUUCCUUAAAUUUAUCAGGUUGUGUUUUGGACAGCAUGCGUUGAGGCAUGUGUACUUAAAUGCAAUUUUGGGUCAUGCACGGUAGAGUAGUUAACACCAUUUAUCCAAAUGCUAUGCAAGUUAUUGCAGAGCAGUAUUCUGCAUAUAUAUCUCCUGUUACCAAUGUCUUGUUGAUAAUAACAACCUGACACAUUGCUUCCCUUCUAUUAUGGGUGUCCCUUUAUUUGGUUUUGGCCUAAAACAAUUCCAAAACAUGGAGAGAGAGAGAGGGUUGUUGUAUAUACUUAACAUCUUGUGUGCAAAAUUUGUUGAAUUAGUUUUUAA